UACGUAGGGGGCUAGCGUUGUCCGGAAUCAUUGGGCGUAAAGCGCGUGUAGGCGGUCCGGUAAGUCCGCUGUGAAAGUCGGGGGCUCAACCUCGGGCCUGCAGUGGGUACGGGCAGACUAGAGUGCGGUAGGGGAGAUUGGAAUUCCUGGUGUAGCGGUGGAAUGCGCAGAUAUCAGGAGGAACACCGGUGGCGAAGGCGGGUCUCUGGGCCGAUACUGACGCUGAGGAGCGAAAGCGUGGGGAGCGAACAGG
rnacentral:rRNA from 1 species